AUGGUCUAUCAAGGCCUGUCCCAUGUCUGCCUAUUGUGGCUAUCUGUGUCUGGCCUAUCGUGGCUAUUUCUGUACGGUCUAUCGAGACCUGUCCGUGUCCGGCUAUCAUGGCUAUUUUUCUGUACGGUCUAUCAAGGCCUGCCCCAUGUCUGCCUAUUGUGGCUGUCUGUGUCUGCCUAUCGUGGCUAUUUCUGUACGGUCUAUCGAGACCUGUCCGUGUCCGGCUAUCAUGGCUAUUUUUCUGUACGGUCUAUCAAGGCCUGCCCCAUGUCUGCCUAUUGUGGCUGUCUGUGUCUGCCUAUCGUGGCUAUUUCUGUACGGUCUAUCGAGACCUGUCCGUGUCCGGCUAUCAUGGCUAUUUUUCUGUACGGUCUAUCAAGGCCUGUCCCAUGUCUGCCUAUUGUGGCUAUCUGUGUCUGGCCUAUCGUGGCUAUUUCUGUACGGCCUAUCGAGGCCUGUCCGUGUCUGCCUAUCGUGGCUGUCUGUGUCUGGCCUAUCGUGGCUAUUUCUGUACGGCCUAUCAAGGCCUGUCCGUGUCCGGCCAUCAUGGCUAUUUUUCUGUAUGGUCUAUUGAGGCCUGUCCUGUGUCUGCCUAUUGUGGCUAUUCAUGGUCUAUCGAGGCCUGUCUUGCGUCUGCCUAUCGUGGCUAUUUCUGUUGGUCUAUCGAGGCCUGUCCGUGUCUGGCUAUCAUGGCUAUUUUUCUGUAUGGUCUAUCGAGGCCUAUCUGUGUCUGGCCAUCAUGGCUAUUUCUGUACGGUCUAUCAAGGCCUGUCUGCGUCUGCCUAUUGUGGCUGUCUGUGUCUGGCCUAUCGUGGCUAUUUAUGUAUGGUCUAUCGAGGCCUGUCUGUGUCUGGCUAUCAUGGCUAUUUUUCUGUACGGUCUAUCGAGGCUGUCUGUUUCUGCCUAUCAUGGCUAUUCUGUAUGGUCUAUCGAGGCCUGUCUGCGUCUGCCUAUCGUGGCUGUCUGCGUCUGGCCUAUCGUGGCUAUUUCUGUUGGUCUAUUGAGGCCUGUCUGUGUCUGCCUAUCGUGGCUGUCUGCGUGAGGCCUAUCGUGGCUAUUUAUGUUGGUCUAUCGGGGCCUGUCUGUGUCUGCCUAUCGUGGCUGUCUGCGUGA
rnacentral:lncRNA from 1 species